rnacentral:SRP_RNA from 1 species
GCCUGAUGCAACAGUGGCAUGUGUCUAUAUUCCCAACUACUCUAGAGACUAAGGCAGGAGGAUGUCUUGAGCCCAGGAGUUCUGGGCUGGAGUGUGCUAUGCCUAUCAGAUAUCCAUAGUAAGUUCAGUAUCAGUAUGGUGACCUCCCUGGAGUGGGUAACCACCAGGUUGCUAAGCAGGAAUGAACUGGCCCAGUUUGGAAAUGGAGCAGGUCAAAACUCCUGUGCUAAUCAGCAGUGGGAUCAUGCCUGUGAUUAGCCGCCACAUUCUAGCCCUGGCAACUAGUAAGAUCUCAUCUGUU